UACGAGGGGGGGCGAGCGUUGUUCGGAAUUAUUGGGCGUAAAGAGCUCGUAGGCGGUCUGUCGCGUCUGCUGUGAAAACUCAGGGCUUAACCCUGAGCUUGCAGUGGGUACGGGCAGACUAGAGUGCGGUAGGGGAGACUGGAAUUCCUGGUGUAGCGGUGAAAUGCGCAGAUAUCAGGAGGAACACCGGUGGCGAAGGCGGGUCUCUGGGCCGUAACUGACGCUGAGGAGCGAAAGCAUGGGGGAGCGAACAGG
rnacentral:rRNA from 1 species